rnacentral:rRNA from 1 species
GACGUAGGGCGCGAGCGUUGUCCGGAUUUAUUGGGCGUAAAGAGCUCGUAGGCGGCUUGUCGCGUCGACCGUGAAAACUCGGGGCUUAACCCCGAGCCUGCAGUGGAUACGGGCAGACUAGAGGUAGGUAGGGGAGAAUGGAAUUCCCGGUGUAGCGGUGAAAUGCGCAGAUAUCGGGAGGAACACCGGUGGCGAAGGCGGUUCUCUGGGCCUUACCUGACGCUGAGGAGCGAAAGCGUGGGGAGCGAACAGG